CGAAAUGCGAUAAGUAGUGUGAAUUGCAGAAUUCAGUGAAUCAUCGAAUCUUUGAACGCACAUUGCGCCCUUUGGUAUUCCUUAGGGCAUGCCUGUUCGAGCGUCAUCUAAACCUUCAAGCCCUGCUUGGUGUUGGGUGCCUGUCCCGCCUCCGCGCGCGGACUCACCUCAAAUCCAUUGGCGGCCCCCGCGUCGGCCACGAGCGCAGCAGAAACGCGAACUCGUGAGCCCGCCCGGGCGGCUCCCAGAAGCUACACCCACCCAGUUUGACCUCGGAUCAGGUAGGGAUACCCGCUGAACUUAAGC
rnacentral:misc_RNA from 1 species